AAAGGAAGGAGGGGGCAUUCGAAGGGGGAGGCUCUCUGGCGCGGAUUCUCUCUCUGAGAGACGCUCUCUCGUUCCCGCUCUCUCUUCAUGACGAUCUCUCUCUCUCUCUCUCUAAAAAAACCGUUCGCGCGUGCGGAUGCUCGGGGACGGAUUCUCUUGCUGAGGGGAUUAUCGCUCUCUCGGACUCUCUCCGCAUCUCGGAGAGCGAGCUAGGGUUUGACGGCCGAAUCGAUUCAAGGUGGAAAUCGGUCUCUUUCUUUGGCUUGAGGAUCUCGACUUCCUCAUCUGCACCUUUUCGAGCUCCGAAGCCGAUCGGCGAUGGUGGUAGCGACGGCAGCGGCGGCGACAGCUUCCAAUCGUUUUUUUGUUCUACUUUGCCGGUAGUCUCGCGCGCAAGAGAGAUUCCGACGAUUCCUCUCUGGCUGGAUCUCGCGCUCAGGAUCUGUCUCUCGCUCUCUGGAUUUGUCUCUCGGUCGGUCUCUCUCUUGAUUGAAGACGGAACAAAUGAAGAUCGAAGGAGUUCUUCGUUGUUACUUGAUCAUCAAAAUCUCUAAAGAUGCUUCGGAGUAGUUGAUGUGCUGAUUUCCAGAAAAUCGCAGAAUAAAGAUUGAGCUGAGUCUUCUCAAUCUUUACUUGUACAUUUGUUGCGCAAAUAUUCUGAUUUCAGCAGAUUCCGUUGACAUUUAAUUUCACUGAUUUUGUUGAAGAAGAAGCUGAGAAAAACGUGUUUAGAUUGCAACUCAAAAGAAGCGUACACCAUCUUCAAAUCGGCAGCCGAGGCGUUCAUUCGAUGAGUUCGAGGAUCACAGAAUCAAAGGCCAGCGUUCUUCAUUUUCCAGGAGUUCCAAUAACAAAAUCGAAGCUAAGUGUUUGGUUUCCUCUUUUCUAUUUCGUUCUUGGCCGAUUCAUUACGGACCGAGGUGGGUGCGAUGAAACUCCAUUUAAUAUCAUCCGAUGAGGCGAGAGCUUCUCGUGUCGUGAUUCAUGAUCGACAACGAAAGUUCGGGGCCAGGAUGCAUUGCAAAUCUAGUUAAAAUCAAUGCUUAUAUGAUCUGGAACAGAUUAUAGUUAGAUGCUGUGAUUUUUGAAUAUGGAUGAGCAUGUUCCUGUUAGUUCUAUUUUGAACUCUUAAAUGUCGUUGUCUUGUGAAGUGACGAGCUAGAAGUUUGACGUGCACAUCUUAAGCUUUGAUUUGGUGUAUUAAAGCCCCCAAAUGAAAUUUGUUUGUCAGCUCGAAUCCAUCUAAAAAAUAUACACACUGUUCUGAAAUUCUAACUUGAAGUACUGCUGCUGUGAUUGUUGGACACGCUUGCUAUUUGCUGAGUUUCUAUUGAAUUUUGUUCUUGGAUUCUGUGGGCUAGCUGCUGUGGUUUUUUGUGUUCAAUGUCUUCACGAGAGUUGAAGACGACUCAAAGACCUUUCCAACGACCCAUAGAACGUUCUGAUCCGAUGUCUUUUACUACCUGAAAAUAGCUCGGCAUUUAGCGCCAGUUUUCUGGAAAAUUUUGGUGUUCUGACUUGCUCUCUGUUCUGAAUGACCUUCUGUGCAAAUGACUUGAUAUGAGCUGGUUGUUGUGGUUUUCUGUGUUCGAAGUCUUCAUGGAGGUCGAAGAUGGUUCGAUUAUCUUUCCAACGAGCUAUAGAAUGCCCUAAUUGGACUUCAUUUAAUAUGGUUUUUGCCUGUCCAAAGUUAGGUCCAGAAUCUGCCAAAUAUUUGUUUCUCUGUUUCAGAUGACCUUCUGUGUAAACCGCUUGAUAUGAAUUGGUAGAUGAUGUUAUUAGGACUUAAUGUCUUCUAGAGAUUUGUAAUAGACUUCACAAGCUUUCUAUAGACAUAUUAUAUGUGCAAUUUGGCCAUCAUUUUCCCUGCCUGAUGCUUCUUGCAAAGAGCACUAAUCUGCUGAUGUGUUCUGCUUGUUAUGAUCUGAUUUGACCACUUAUACAAAUGGCUUUGCUUGAGCUAGAAAAAGAGCUAAAUUGCAAUUGUCACCUAAUAGAAUUCGUAAAAGACACCUUGAGCUUUCUAACGAUGCCUAGUUUGUCCAAUUUGCCCAUCAUUUGCCCUGGUUUUCUUUUUUUUUUUUAGAUCAAGUUUUGAAGUCUGAAUUUGUCUUGACCUGCAGUGCUGUCUUGUCUCUAUGAAUUUGACUGUCUACCAAUUUUGUGUGAUCUUAUACAUAAUGAUCUUGAGGAUAAAUUCUUAAUGAAAGCUGUCCAUAAUAUCCAUAUCCAUCCCAUGCUAAAAUUUGAGAAUUUUGAAGGUGAAGUAACCUUAGAAUUCAAGUUGACAUGUAGCAAUUUAAAUUGUUAUGCAUUUUGCUCCUAAUGACGAGUCACAUAUCAAUGUUAAUGGAUUUGUGUGGCCUUUUGCACAUGGAUUUAGGGUUAAAUGUCUAAAUCAAACUUUUUCUUCACAUUUAACCCUACGUCAUGUUCAAAUUUCAUGAUUUUCAUGCAUUGAUUAGGUGACUUAACAAAUCAGUUGUCAUGCAUCAUUCUUUGAUUUGCUUAUGAUUGAUUUGCAUGUUUUAGCGAUUGUUGCUUUUCGGCCAUGAAUUUGACUUUACUUGAACUUGAUAUGCCUCAGGAAAUUCCAUUCAUGAAAGUUGCUCUUUAUAAAGUGCUUGAUUUCUGUGCUUUUUUCUUAGAGCCAAUCAUACAUGGGUUCUACCCCAAUUGCUUUGAUUUUAUUUGUGAUGUUUGUUUCCUUGCACUGCAUAUACCUAGUUAUGGGUUUCUUAGAUUAGGUUUAGAUUAGGAUCCCGAAGAUGAAGGAGGCGUGAAGAUGGUGGAGGUCGAUGUCCACUCCGACUGUUGCCAUGUAAUAUUCUUUUUCCCGACAUAUGUCUUGGGUUCCAUGCAUUGUAUAAAACCCGACGAGUUGCGGGUUUCUUUCUUUUCUUUUUAGUUGUUUUCUUUUAUAUUUUAGGACUGCCCGAUAGAUUUACGGCUUUUCCUUGAUUGCUUA